CAUUACCGAGUUUACAACUCCCAAACCCCUGUGAACAUACCACUUGUUGCCUCGGCGGAUCAGCCCGCUCCCGGUAAAACGGGACGGCCCGCCAGAGGACCCCUAAACUCUGUUUCUAUAUGUAACUUCUGAGUAAAACCAUAAAUAAAUCAAAACUUUCAACAACGGAUCUCUUGGUUCUGGCAUCGAUGAAGAACGCAGCAAAAUGCGAUAAGUAAUGUGAAUUGCAGAAUUCAGUGAAUCAUCGAAUCUUUGAACGCACAUUGCGCCCGCCAGUAUUCUGGCGGGCAUGCCUGUUCGAGCGUCAUUUCAACCCUCAAGCACAGCUUGGUGUUGGGACUCGCGUUAAUUCGCGUUCCUCAAAUUGAUUGGCGGUCACGUCGAGCUUCCAUAGCGUAGUAGUAAAACCCUCGUUACUGGUAAUCGUCGCGGCCACGCCGUUAAACCCCCAACUUCUGAAUGUUGACCUCGGAUCAGGUAGG
rnacentral:rRNA from 1 species